rnacentral:rRNA from 1 species
GAUCCUGGCUCAGGAUGAACGCUAGCUACAGGCUUAACACAUGCAAGUCGAGGGGAAACGACAUCGAAAGCUUGCUUUUGAUGGGUCGUCGACCGGCGCACGGGUGAGUAACGCGUAUCCAACCUGCCACCACUUGGGGAUAACCUUGCGAAAGUAAGACUAAUACCCAAUGAUAUCUCUAGAAGACAUCUGAAAGGGAUUAAAGAUUUAUCGGUGAUAGGAUGGGGAUGCGUCUGAUUAG